rnacentral:rRNA from 1 species
GAUGAACGCUGGCGGCGUGCUUAACACAUGCAAGUCGAACGAUGAAGCUCAGCUUGCUGGGUGGAUUAGUGGCGAACGGGUGAGUAACACGUGAGUAACCUGCCCUUAACUCUGGGAUAAGCCUGGGAAACUAGGUCUAAUACCGGAUAGGAGCGCCUACCGCAUGGUGGGUGUUGGAAAGAUUUAUCGGUUUUGGAUGGACUCGCGGCCUAUCAGCUUGUUGGUGAGGUAAUGGCUCACCAAGGCGACGACGGGUAGCCGGCCUGAGAGGGUGACCGGCCUCACUGGGACUGAGACACGGCCCAGACUCCUACGGGAGGCAGCAGUGGGGAAUAUUGCACAAUGGGCGAAAGCCUGAUGCAGCGACGCCGCGUGAGGGAUGACGGCCUUCGGGUUGUAAACCUCUUUCAGUAGGGAAGAAGCGAAAGUGACGGUACCUGCAGAAGAAGCACCGGCUAACUACGUG